rnacentral:rRNA from 1 species
UAGGGAAUAUUGGACAAUGGGGGCAACCCUGAUCCAGCCAUGCCGCGUGAGUGAAGAGGGCCCUCGGGUUGUAAAGCUCUUUUGUCCGGAAAGAAAAGCAUUCGGUGAAUACCCGGAUGUUCUGACGGUACCGGAAGAAUAAGCACCGGCUAACUUCGUGCCAGCAGCCGCGGUAAUACGAAGGGUGCAAGCGUUACUCGGAAUUACUGGGCGUAAAGCGUGCGUAGGUGGUUGUUUAAGUCUGAUGUGAAAGCCCUGGGCUCAACCUGGGAAUGGCAUUGGAAACUGGGCAGCUAGAGUGCGGUAGAGGGUAGUGGAAUUCCCGGUGUAGCAGUGAAAUGCGUAGAGAUCGGGAGGAGCAUCUGUGGCGAAGGCGACUGCCUGGACCAGCACUGACACUGAGGCACGAAAGCGUGGGGAGCAAACA